UACUCGAUGCCUGACCCCGUUGGUGGAGGAUCCAGCAGCAAGGAAGGUCCUCUCGUCGCGGGAGGAUACUCGGUGCUGCUCGUCCAACCUCCAUUCUGAGGUAAUCCACCGCCAUUCUGUAUCCAUCUUCAGAUCUGAACAUAUGUCCUCACCUGCUCACCACACUACUUGAGGCUUGUAGUCUGUUGCAAGCACUUCGGAUCAGUAAACAGCUCUUCUCUCCAUCAGAAUCAAGAUGGGCCCAUCGGUGAGUCAUUUGCCUGCCUAUUCUGGCCUACAGCAUCAAUCAUAGACACUCUCCCCUUAUGGGAACUCUCAUAGCGUUGUCAAUCAAAUGACUUAACCGUGUGAACACAAUUGCAGCCCUUCAUGAGGUUUGGAAUGAUCGCUCGGAAGCUUUGCUCGUUGGUUGGAGGUUCCAAAACACCUCCUACUCGUCCUUAUGAGACUAUCAAAAUGACCCCGUUUCGCCGGCUGUCAACAUUACCAUAUUGGGAUUCUGUUCCACUUAACCACCGAAUGUAUGUCGUUCUAUAUUAAUGUGCAUCUACACUCUAUCUUGUAUAUUCACUUGCUUUUCAUUUGAUAACUAUAAUUUGUUCUCAUUCUUGCUAAGCAGUAUUGUUGAAUCUAUUUUAACUCUGUUGUAAGCUUGUUGUGAUGGUGUUAUGGACUGAUUGCUGAAUUUAUGACCUAUCUAACUGGAUUGAUUGGCUUAAAUAAACCUUUCUUGAUAUAUGAG
rnacentral:lncRNA from 1 species